rnacentral:lncRNA from 1 species
AAGUAUUCAUAUGUGUUUUGAAUGAAUAAACUCAUGAAAUUCUUGAUUAACUAUGUACAUGAAUUUGAGAUAGAAUGGUGCAAUCAUAUGAAUUAUAUCAUGUUUUGAAUAAUGGUUUUAAAUGCAGAUAUUUAAUAAUAUGAGUUUAUUACCAUACAAGAUUACUAAGCUUUAUAGCUUACUUUGUGUUAUUUUUCUAUGUUUUAUAGUGAUUCAGACGUUCGCUCGAGUUGGAAGUCAGAGGAGAUCACAUCACACUAUCCGAUUUUUGAUUUUGGUAUUUAUACACUUGUGACUUGGUUAUAUGGCGUGUAUAGGCUUG